rnacentral:tRNA from 2 species
AUUGUUUUGGCAGAUUAGUGCAGUAAAUUUAGAAUUUAUUUAUGUAAUUUUAUAUUACAGACAAUA